UUUAAAUUCUACGUAAUCCACCAGAGUCCAAGAGUUAACUCCCAGAGAGGGGUGGCAGUCCGAUUUUGUCAGCUUACUCGACUUGGAGAGGGAAGAUAAUUUACAUUUGGACAGUUACAUUUGACCAGAAUGUAUGCGAUGGGCUGCAUCAUGGUUUUGAAGGAAAAGGUUACACUAUUUAUUACAGACAGCAAGAAAACAUCAUUGAACACCACCAACUAAUAAGACUCCAAAGGAAUAAUGGAAAAUAAGAUAUUUAAAGCUGUCAAAAAGCAGAGAUUAGAGUUCAGUGGAUUCCAUGAUGGUACUUUGGAUAAUGUUAAUCAGGCAGCAAUUCUCUUCCCAAGGAUCUUAAGUGCUUUUAGAAGAGGCUAAUAAACAAAGGACAGUCACUUACUACAGAAGAGAAGCAGGGGAGAUUAGUGAUAUUCUGAGUGGCAUGACUGCACCUUACAAAGAUGUAAAACUUUAAAAAUUGUGUUUAAAUAUACAAUGACU